UGGAUGGACGCCAUUUUGGGAGCGCCUGGUUAUCUGAGGUCGGGAGGGGUUGUCUGCCCCCUGACUCAGAAAUGUAGUAGGGCCCCAAUCUUUCAAGGUCGGACGACCUCAAUUAAUGGCACCUGCUGUUUGGYCUUCACCACCCAACACUGACACGGUAAUGAGGACUUUUCAGUGCUUCUUCGUGAACCAUGUGCAGUUUGGAAGAUUUGGAGCUGCAUCACCGGCAUACUUCGUUUUAUUUUGCUUCGCAGAUAUUACUGCUUUUGCACUCAGCACUAGAAGCUGGUGCUUCAUGGCACUUCCUCUUUUCAAAGUGUAUUAAUAAGCCAAUACAUUUUAGGGCCCACAAGUAAAAGGCCCAGUAAUUCUGCCAGCAUACAAGAAAAGAGACRCAUAUCUCCAUUGUUACGUGAACUGUAUGAUACAGAG